AAUAAGAUGCCUGACAAAAAGGAUUAUUUUGAUAGAAUAAAUUAUACAUUAUAUGUUCUUAUUA
rnacentral:tRNA from 1 species